CAAUAGCGUAUAUUAAAGUUGUUGCAGAUAAAAAGCUCGUAGUUGAAGAUACGAACGCUUACACUAGAACAAAGUUUCCGGUGUCUGCGUUCACUUUUCGCAAAGACAGCCUGGCCCAUUAGUUUGGGUCUUGUUUGAGUUGCGUCAUUUACUGUGAACAAAUUGGGGUGUUUAAAGCAGGCCUACGUUUGAAUAUACUAGCAUGGAAUAAUAAGAUAUGAUCUUGGUCGAAUUUUGUUGGUGACUACCAAGAUAAUGAUUGAUAGAAACUGUUGUGGGUAUUCGUAUGAGCAUGUCAGAGGUGAAAUUCUUGGAUUUUGAUCAGACGAACUACUGCGAAAGUAUUUACCAAGGAUGUUUUCAUUAA
rnacentral:rRNA from 1 species